rnacentral:misc_RNA from 1 species
UACGGAGGAUCCAAGCGUUAUCCGGAAUCAUUGGGUGUAAAGGGUCCGUAGGCGGGUUAAUCAGUCAGUGGUGAAAGUCUGCAGCUUAACUGUAGAAUUGCCAUUGAUACUGUUGACCUUGAGUAAGUAUGAGGUGGGUAGAAUAUGUAGUGUAGCGGUGAAAUGCAUAGAUAUUACAUAGAAUACCGAUGGCGAAGGCAGAUCACUAAUAAUAUACUGACGCUGAGGUACGAAAGCGUAGGUAGCGAACAGG